rnacentral:rRNA from 1 species
UACGUAGGGGGCUAGCGUUGUCCGGAAUCAUUGGGCGUAAAGAGCGUGUAGGCGGCCCGGUAAGUCCGCUGUGAAAGUCGGGGGCUCAACCCUCGAAUGCCGGUGGAUACUGUCGGGCUAGAGUGCGGAAGAGGCGAGUGGAAUUCCUGGUGUAGCGGUGAAAUGCGCAGAUAUCAGGAGGAACACCAAUUGCGAAGGCAGCUCGCUGGGACGUAACUGACGCUGAGAAGCGAAAGCAUGGGGAGCGAACAGG